UCCUCGGUAGUAUAGUGGUGAGUAUCCGCGUCAGACCCGGGUUCAAUUCCCGGCCGGGGAGAAAUUUUGUACUCUCGCUAUAAAUCGUCACGCAUCAGUAAACACUCGCCAAUGUGGCACUAUCAUUUCACAGAUCAUCACUUCAAAUCUCGGUAGUAUAGUGGUGAGUAUCCGCGUCAGACCCGGGUUCAAUUCCCGGCCGGGGAG